CUCAUGACUGCCUUGAUCAAUAGCAUACGGCAGACGUCAUGCUGUGCCAGUUUCAGGCUUAGCUUUACUUGAUUGACAGCUCCAUCUUUCUGCUUCUUGGAACGUUCAGUCUGGGGACUCCCUCUCUCCUAAACCAACUGCCAUGCUGUGAAACUCCUAAGCCACACGGAGGUAUUUCAGUUGACAGCCUUAGCUGAGCUGCAGUAUCAACUGCCAGUCAUGUGAACACUCAGCUUGAACAUUCCAGCCCAGUUGAGCCUUCGGAUAAUUGCAGCCCCAGCUGACACCUGGCCGUAUUGUGUGAGACACACCAAGUGAAAACUGCUUAGCUGAGUCCAGUCAAACCAAAGAAUCGUGAGAGAGAAGAAUAAUUGGUUUCAAGUGCUGUCAUGGAGACGCCCCUCCCCCAUUCUUUGUGAUCUGCGUGAGACUGUCAAUCAAGACCCGUUGCCCAAACCCACAGCUAAAGGCAGGUCAUGUGAUCAAAAAUAGACCCAGAAUCUUUCUCCAGGGAAUUUGAGUCUUCAGUGGAGUAUUGAUAGAAAAUGGGUUUAAUGAAGAUAAAGGGGCUCUCUUUACGUGUCCAGUUGGGCUUGACAAAUUAACCAGGCUGCUGAAAGGGGCCCAGUGCAAGCCGCGGAGCUGAAACAGCAUCUCUAAUCUUAUUUCCUAUGAACCUCUCACUAACUUCUCCUUUUACGAUCUUUUCACGGCUGUUACAUUGAAUCAGUAUCAUUAUGUGUUUAAAAAAAUAUUAUGCUCUGUGUCUCAGAGCUAACUCUCCAGAACCGAUUAUUCUAGCCCCUUUUCUUAGGAGAUGACAGGCUGUUAGAAAUCUGGAAAGGGUGGGGGUUUGUUUGUUUGUUUCUGGGGUCCUCUUGGCAGGAGCUGAGAAAUGAGGUGAAAGCCGCGGUUCUCAGACUUUUGCUGUAGGUUUACGGUAUGACCAUGAGCAUUCCCAAUGGCAGAUUGCAAAAAUGGCCCUGGAUUCCUCCCUUCCCUGAACGCACACUUCUUUGCAGUGUGACUUGGUCACUCUUCUCCUCUAGAGGUGGAGCCUGUACUUCACACCUUGAAUCUAGCCUUAGACAAUAUGUUUUGUCCCGUGGGAUGUUAGCAGAGGUUUGAAGGACAUUUCUGCUUUGGGGUUUCCUCUCUCUUGCUGCACCUGGAAACUUAAGACCCUUAUGUCACCCAG
rnacentral:lncRNA from 1 species